CUCUGACCUAGAGUAACUCGUCAAUGAAUUUACAAACAAAAUACGCGUGGCUCUGUUGGAAUGAGGUUAAUCCGGUUAAUUGCAAGGACGGACAUAUCAGGAGAUAAUGCAGCUCAUCACCCAGGUCAUUCGAGGGGCAGAGCGGGCACCUUCUUUCGUUGUGUGGCACAUGACUUUGCGACCAUCUUCCAACCUCAAUAGGGAACCUAUGAUUGCCAGUUCGGAAAUGGAAUAAUGAUAAGCGCUGGGAACAUGAAUACAGCGAGUUGUUUUAGAUGUACUAGGCAACAGGAAACAUUUAUCACACAGGAACACUAUCCCCGGCUGCUCCUAGCACGAGGAUACGUCUGGGGAGAUUGGACAGCCAGUUGAGUGCGGGGUACCAGAAUUACCUGCGGAGCCAGUGGUCUCAGGCCCCGUAGCGCUAGACAUUUCCGGUUUCUGUGGCUCUGGGAGAUGCUCCUGCAACGGGGCAUGAACUGCCGUUAGAUAACCGGGUGCGGAACUUGAAAUGUCGGGAUUCUUGAUUUCCUCAGUUGCUUUUGGGGAGUUAUGGUUGACAACGCGGGGCCGAGGUUGGAAGUCAUUGUUCUCCUCUUCGUCGGAUUGCUCGUCGAUGAUGAUAUCUUGUUCUUUUGGCAGAUUCUUCAUAACAUGCCUCAAUGUAGCAUCAACGGUAAAGUCGUACCUCUCCUGGAUACGCGCAUGAACAUUAGAGUUACGUGAGCCACGUAGGAUUUCGUACCAGUUCGGGAACAUGUCACGGACAACGUCACCGUUGACUUCCAAAGCGGCGGGAAAUUUUAUUCUAACAUUUCUUGGACCAUAUUUGUCACGUGCUAACUUGUAUUGGGGCCACAAUUCCUUGCGAGCCUCACUGAUUUCACGGGGAUAGUCUCUGGAAAUGCCAUAGCUAGUGUUUUUUAGAAGUUUCGCAUUUUCCAUAAUAAUGUCAGUGUCACCGGCGUCACGGAAGGAUACCAGAAUCGAUCUGUGACGGAUUUUACCUCUGGCGCGCACCACAUUACGUUUGCCAAUGCGAUACGCCUUUGUUAUAAAGAUAUUUGCAGGAUCCAAAUUCAGUUGGUCUUUCAGAAAGUUUGUAAUUAUUGUAUGACAAUUAUCAGCGUUAACAAUCUCUGCAUGACCACUAAAUAUCAAAUUAUUGUGGAGUAGUUUUGCUUCAGUGUCAAUACUUUUGUAUUCCAAAAGCCGAAGACGGGCCUCCUUAACAUCACACCUAGCCGCUUGGAGAUAUGACGAUUUAUUAAUGGCAUCAAGUUUAUAAUUCAUUGGACCAAUAUUCAUCAUCAUGUCAAACAUAAUGUUCAUUUUGUCAUUCAUGUUCAUAGCAACAAAGUCUUGCUUAGACGGUACACCUGUUUGGUAAAGAGUACUACCUGUUGAUGUUGUACUGCUCGAUCUGCGAGAUCUUUUUUUGGGGUUAUCCAUUGUUUCCUCCAUAAGAGGUACAAAUUUCCCUGUAUAUUUUGCCAUGUUUAUCCGUAUUUCACUAUAAACUAUAUUUCACUAUAUAAUAAAGUCUUCAUACGAUCAUAGGAAAGUCUUUUUAGUCACUAAUUUACACAAAGGUUCACAAAUUAGCGGGAGCGAUAAAAUCCACGUCCGCCAUUGAUCAUA